AUUCUCUCAUCUUGAUGCAUGUUUCACUGUUAAACAUAGGUUUUCCCACUUGCAUACUUUUUUUUUUUUUUUUUUUUCCCUCUUGGAGCUUUUGGUUUAAAAUGUGAGGUUUAAGACCACAAUAAAUGAUUAACUUUG